AGGAGUUUGAUCCUGGCUCAGGAUGAACGCUAGCGGCAGGCUUAACACAUGCAAGUCGAGGGGUAACAUUGUAGCUUGCUACAGAUGACGACCGGCGCACGGGUGCGUAACGCGUAUACAAUCUACCUUUUGCUGAGGGAUAGCCCAGAGAAAUUUGGAUUAAGACCUCAUGGUAUGUAUGAAUGGCAUCAUUUAUAUAUUAAAGGUUACGGCAAAAGAUGAGUAUGCGUCCUAUUAGCUAGAUGGUAAGGUAACGGCUUACCACGGCGACGAUAGGUAGGGGCCCUGAGAGGGGGAUCCCCCACACUGGUACUGAGACACGGACCAGACUCCUACGGGAGGCAGCAGUGAGGAAUAUUGGGCAAUGGAGGCAACUCUGACCCAGCCAUGCCGCGUGCAGGAAGACUGCCCUAUGGGUUGUAAACUGCUUUUAUACAGGAAGAAACACUCCUUCGAGAAGGGAGCUUGACGGUACUGUAAGAAUAAGGAUCGGCUAACUCCGUGCCAGCAGCCGCGGUAAUACGGAGGAUCCAAGCGUUAUCCGGAAUCAUUGGGUUUAAAGGGUCCGUAGGUGGAUAAUUAAGUCAGAGGUGAAAUCCUGCAGCUCAACUGUAGAAUUGCCUUUGAAACUGGUUAUCUUGAGUCAUUAUGAAGUGGUUAGAAUGUGUAGUGUAGCGGUGAAAUGCAUAGAUAUUACAC
rnacentral:rRNA from 1 species